rnacentral:rRNA from 1 species
ACGGAAGGCAGCAGUGAGGAAUAUUGGUCAAUGGACGGAAGUCUGAAUCAGCCAAGUCGCGUGAAGGAUGAAGGUAUUAUGUAUUGUAAACUUCUUUAGCAGUGGAGUAAUAAGGGGAUCGUGAUCCCUGAUGCAAGUACACUGAGAAUAAGGAUCGGCUAACUCCGUGCCAGCAGCCGCGGUAAUACGGAGGAUCCGAGCGUUAUCCGGAUUUAUUGGGUUUAAAGGGUGCGCAGGCGGCUUUUUAAGUCAGUGGUUAAAUCGUGACGCUCAACGUCAUCACGCCAUUGAUACUGGAGAGCUUGAUUGCGGUCGAGGUUUGCGGAAUUCGUUGUGUAGCGGUGAAAUGCAUAGAUAUGACGAAGAACACCGAUUGCGUAGGCAGCAGACCAGGCCGUAAAUGACGCUCAUGCACGAAAGUGCGGGGAUCGAACAGGAUUAGAUACCCUGGUA